GGAAUUGUUGCUCAGUGGUAGAGCACUUGCCUGGCAUGUGUGAGGUAUUGUGUUCAACCCUCAGCACCA
rnacentral:tRNA from 1 species